AUUGAACGCUGGCGGUAUGCUUAAGACAUGCAAGUCGAACGGUAACAGGUUAAGCUGACGAGUGGCGGACGAGUGAGUAACGCGUGGGAAUCUACCUUGUAGUGGGGGAUAAGCCAGGGAAACUUGGACUAAUACCGCAUACGCCCUAAGGGGGAAAGGCGCAAGUCGCUAUAAGAUGAGCCCGCGUCUGAUUAGGUAGUUGGUGGGGUAAAGGCCUACCAAGCCGACGAUCAGUAGCUGGUCUGAGAGGAUGAUCAGCCACGUCGGGACUGAGACACGGCCCGGACUCCUACGGGAGGCAGCAGUCGGGAAUAUUGGACAAUGGGGGAAACCCUGAUCCAGCAAUACCGCGUGUGUGAAGAAGGCCCUCGGGUUGUAAAGCUCUUUUGUCCGGAAAGAAAAGCAAUCGGUUAAUACCCGGUUGUUCUGACGGUACCGGAAGAAUAAGCACCGGCUAACUUCGUG
rnacentral:rRNA from 1 species